ensembl:miRNA
GCUUUGGGAUUGAGGCCACAUGUCUCAGGUCCCUAGCUGGUCAAGUGUCAUCUGUCCCUAGGC